CGCGAGCCGAAGCGUAACGACGUCUGCUUCAUCGCCAUCGACAUUCUCCAACCGCCGUUUCCUUUGUUCUCCGGCUUUGGGGUUAUGUAUCCACACACACUGACAUGGAUAGCCCCACGCAUGUGUAAAGUUCCUGGUGUCUCUACAACACUGAAGAGUCAGGCAUAAACCGGAAGACGUCCCUUGGGUCUGCCAGUGAUUAGGCUGCUUCUGCAUGUACCAUCUAUACUCCGAAAGGAACUGCGGGAUGACGGUUCCGAAGUGGCGUAGCAAUCACGUGAUUAUUAUUAUGACCAUCAUCGUCUUAUUAUACGUCUUAUCAGUGUCACCCUAUAUUGUUAAUAGUUGGCCUAUUUAUGUUGUAAUAUCAUAUUUUGUACUAUUAGGAACAGCAU